rnacentral:lncRNA from 1 species
GGCGGAAGUUAGCCUGGGAGGAAUGCGCCACGUCUGAUGGCCGCCAUGAUGACUUGGCAUGGGCGGAAACCGGUCAACAUUUUCUUAUGGUUUUGCUUUAGGCAGAUCACCAUUGAUAAGAUGAAAAAAGAUUUCAGGUGUUCAAAAGUUGCUUUAAAGAACAGCUUGUGGUGCUAGUGACCAGAGGAGGUGGAUGCUUGGGAUCGAGGGCCAGCUCUGCGGACGCGGAGGCCAGGACCCAGUCUGGCAGAGGCACCCAUGUGGCAUGUUAUCCUCUGCAUUUGUGAUUUGCAAGGACAUCAGAUGCAGAUGGAGGUAAGAGCAGCACUUGUCGAGUUUGCGGAAUCACCUGUUUCAAUCCAGACACUGGUCACGUGACAUUAUUG